rnacentral:rRNA from 1 species
CACCGCGGUUAUACGAGAGGCCCUAGUUGAUGAACACGGCGUAAAGGGUGGUUAAGGUUUAGAAAAAAUAAAGCCAAAAGACCUCUUGGCUGUCAUACGCCCCUGAGUAUCCAAAGCCCACAUACGAAGGUAGCUUUAAUAUUAGUCCACCUGACUCCACGAAAGCUGAGAAA